rnacentral:lncRNA from 1 species
UUAGCUUAGUCUAGUGGAAAAGCAUAGGUAUCGUUUCCAUUAGAUCUCCGGUUCGAGUUCACCUAAUCGAUCUCUCAAUGUGAUGUAUAAGAGAGGAAGUUUCAGAGAAAACUAUCAAUGUGAUGUAUAAGAAAUCUUUGAAAACUAUCAAUGUGAAAAGAUUUAUUAUGGUGUUGGAAAAAAUUCUAACUUCUGUCAUCUUUUCUUUGGUAAUUGGAGAUUUAUUUGAUAUUGCUUAGUAAUUUAUGUUGUAAAUGGUAACUGAUUAAUUCAACUAAAUUGUUGAAUCUUACACAUUUUAAUAAAAAUUCUUUAUGGAAUCUAGCAUAAUAACUUAUAGUUUAAAUUAUAAUAAUCGAUUAUAGAUAAUUAAAGAAAAAUUAAAUAAACACAUAAAAUAUAUAAUAAAUUUUCUAUUAAUAAAAAUAUAUAAUUAAACUUUUGCAAAUUAUAAAAGAAAAUUCCAUGGGUAAAUGGAUCCGAAUUUUAAGUGGUUCAUAUGUGUUGGUGUCGGAUCCCGCACCAGAAGUCCGGGACCAACCAAAGAUUGCCACGUAGACAAGAUGAAGACCCAUAAAGGAUAAAGCCCGUCGGAUCCGUGAGCCAAAGGAACAGUCGGAGUGAUUGUCAACAUAAAGAGGGUCCGAAGUGACUGCACCUCGACACAAGUCCGAAGAUGAAGUCAUGGUUAAGUUGGUCCUAAGAACAUUUGGGCCAAAAGGCGAAGCCCAUGAAGAUCAUGAUCUAUUCGAAUUCGAACGUUUAUCAUUAAAGUCAAAGAUCAAAACGGAUACAUUUAAG